rnacentral:tRNA from 1 species
ACGUCGGUGGUUCAGUGGUAGAAUGCUCGCCUGCCACGCGGGCGGCCCGGUUCCGAUUCCAGGCCGACGCA